UACAGAGGUCCCAAGCGUUGUUCGGAUUCAUUGGGCGUAAAGGGUGCGUAGGUGGCGCUGUAAGUCGGGUGUGAAAUCCUGAGGCUUAACCUCGGAACUGCAUUCGAUACUGCGGUGCUUGAGGACUGGAGAGGAGACUGGAAUUCAUGGUGUAGCAGUGAAAUGCGUAGAGAUCAUGAGGAAGACCAGUGGCGAAGGCGGGUCUCUGGACAGUUCCUGACACUGAGGCACGAAGGCCAGGGGAGCAAACGGG
rnacentral:rRNA from 1 species